UCCUUUAGGACGUUUAAACUUACCUUUGAGGUUAAAAGGCCUCAACUCCCCAAAGGGACGACAAGACCCUAAAAACUUUAUUCCUUACUUGGUAUCUAAGAACUACAGCAUCUAGGAAUUUAACUGGGGCGGUUAAUAAAAACAAAAUUAAACAAAACACCCUGAGUGAAAUUAAAGUACAUGCUUCCGUAUACAAGAACUAGUUACUUUAGGGAUAACAGCGCAAUUUUUCCAGAGAGUUCAAAUCGGCGGAAAAGAUUACGACCUCGAUGUUGAAUUGAAAAUCCUCCCGUAGAGCAAAAGCACGGGAAGGGAGUCUGUUCGACUCUUAAACUUUCACAUGAUCUGAGUUCAAACCGGA
rnacentral:rRNA from 1 species